UACAGGGGGGGCAAGCGUUGUUCGGAAUUACUGGGCGUAAAGGGUCUGUAGGUGGCUUGCUAAGUCAGACGUGAAAUCCCUCAGCUUAACUGGGGAACUGCGUCUGAUACUGGCAAGCUUGAGUGCAGGAGAGGAACGCGGAAUUCCUGGUGUAGCGGUGAAAUGCGCAGAUAUCAGGAGGAACACCAGCGGCGAAGGCGGCGCUCUGGGCCGGUACUGACACUGAGGAGCGAAAGCGUGGGUAGCAAACAGG
rnacentral:rRNA from 1 species